GAUGAACGCUGGCGGCGUGCCUAAUACAUGCAAGUCGAGCGAAUGGAUUAAGAGCUUGCUCUUAUGAAGUUAGCGGCGGACGGGUGAGUAACACGUGGGUAACCUGCCCAUAAGACUGGGAUAACUCCGGGAAACCGGGGCUAGUACCGGAUAACAUUUUGAACCGCAUGGUUCGAAAUUGAAAGGCGGCUUCGGCUGUCACUUAUGGAUGGACCCGCGUCGCAUUAGCUAGUUGGUGAGGUAACGGCUCACCAAGGCAACGAUGCGUAGCCGACCUGAGAGGGUGAUCGGCCACACUGGGACUGAGACACGGCCCAGACUCCUACGGGAGGCAGCAGUAGGGAAUCUUCCGAAAUGGACGAAAGUCUGACGGAGCAACGCCGCGUGAGUGAUGAAGGCUUUCGGGUCGUAAAACUCUGUUGUUAGGGAAGAACAAGUGCUAGUUGAAUAAGCUGGCACCUUGACGGUACCUAACCAGAAAGCCACGGCUAACUACGUGCCAGCCGCCGCCGUAA
rnacentral:rRNA from 1 species